GUCGGGGCUUCGGGUGACAUCACAUCCUCCGAACGCGAAAUCUGGCUCCUCGGCCGGCCGGCGAAGGGCGCAACUUCCCCCCUCGGGGUCCCACCUGCGCGUGUCCGCUCGUGUCGCUCAGCGCCGAGUGCGCCAUGGCCUCUCCGGUGACUGCCCAGCUCCUGCCGCUGGCCUUGCUGUUUCAUGCCGUCGCAGCCGCCGGGCCGAGCCCGUUCCGCUUAUCGCCCGGGAAGGUGGAGGGCAGGCUCGGCCAGCGGGUGGAGCUGCAGUGCGAGGUGCUGCUGUCCAGCGCGGCGCCGGGCUGCACCUGGCUCUUCCAGAAGAACGAACCUGCCGCCCGCCCCAUCUUCCUGGUGUACCUCUCCAGAAGCCGGACCAAGUUGGCCGAGGAGCUGGACCCCAAACAGAUCUCGGGCCAGAGGAUUCAGGACACCGUCUACAGUCUCACCCUGCACAGAUUCCGCAAGGAGGAAGAAGGCUACUAUUUCUGCUCGGUCGUGAGCAACUCCGUUCUGUACUUCAGCUCCUUCGUCCCGGUCUUCCUGCCAGUCAAGCCCACCACUACGCCCGCGCCGCGACCGCCCACGCAGGCGCCCAUCACCACGUCGCAGCGGGUGUCUCUGCGCCCGGGGACCUGCCAGCCUUCAGCGGGCGGCACAGUGGAAGCAAGUGGGCUGGACUUGUCCUGUGACAUCUACAUCUGGGCACCCCUGGCUGGGACCUGCGCCUUCCUUCUCCUGUCGCUGGUCAUCACCGUCAUCUGCAACCACAGUAAGUCCUAGGGAAGCGCGGAGUUACGGGAAGCGGUCUGCUCCACUGGCUCCGAUUCCGCGGCUUGCUCCAGGCAGCCGUUGCCCGCAGACAGGAUGGAGAUUUCUGGGACUCCGAGCUGCACUGAAGGGGAACCGAAGACGUGUUUGCAAAUGUCCGAGGCCCGUGGUCAGAGCAGGAGGCAAGCCUAGCCCGUCAGAGAGAUACGUCUAACAUGGAGAUGGGCCCCAUGCACCAGCCACUACAAGACCAAAUAAAACUCUCUUUAUGAGGACA